UGUGGGCUCAUCUUGUUCCAGAGGGUAUAUAUAAGCCAGAGAUAGCAGUCUCAUGUGCACAGUACUGUCGGCGGGCAUCCAAUGGCGAAACUGACAACAAUAAUAAUUCCUCCGGAGAAUUGCUAAGUAAACAAUGUAUGUUCUCUUGAUCUUUCUCUGAGUUAGCACAUUUUUUAGACUAAAAAACUGCUAUGGAUUUUGCUCGCUGGACCCUUGCCGUGAUGAGAAUAUCGACUUCACCACGAUUUGUGUCAUCUGUGGUUUUCCGAAACGCAUGGAAGGAUUUCCCAUUUGGGCAUUAUGAAGUUUAAAGAACGCUUUCUCAAGGUCAAAACUUUUUUGCCAGAUUUUUUUGGACCAAUUUCUGUUCUGUUUGAUGAAGUAAAGAUCUGAUGAUUGGUGACACCUACCUUGGACACACGACCUCUCAGUGCUGGAGUAGAAAGAUCCCGGGAGGCACAAGCAUCGGAAAGACAUGAAGAGUUCCUCACAGAUGCUGUCAAAAGGACAGGGGUUUGAGAAACAGAAACCUGAUGAGAAAAAAGAAAUAAAACACACCAUUAAACUGA